CUGAUGCUUUCAGUUCAUCAGAAUUUAAACAUUUUCUGUUUGUUCUUCAGUAAGCAUCUUCAUUUGAACUGUACAUCGAUUUGUCACCAAUAUAGGGUUCUGUCUUAGAAAAGAAGAAGAACCAAGAACGAUAGUAAGGCACCUUUCUGUGAGGAGGAUUGGACUGGCCCAAAGUCAUCUAACAAACUCCAGGUUGAAAUGGAGGCUUCCCAAACUCCAAAUAUAAGGGGAAGCGGUGGUGUAGCGGCUUAAUGACGCUGGAGUUUGCCAGCCAGAAAUGGUCGACACUCCAGCAGUUCGAGCCCAGCUCUGCGUGAUGGGGUGAAUUCCCGUCAUUCAUCCCUAGCUCCUGCCCACCUAGCAGUUUGAAAGCAUACCAUCUGCAAGUAGAUAAAUAGGUACUCCCAUUUUGGUGGGAGGAAAUGCUGGUGGCGCUCUGCACAGGGGAUAGGAACCGGUGCUGAAGCCACCUAGAUGCGAUCGGCGGAAGAUGAGACGCGAUCGACAGGAAGGUCGGCGGAGGAAGAAAGCCCGGAUGUUCUGACUUCCCUGUGACUGCUGCUGGCCAAGUCAAGAAGGGACCAAGAUAUUUCUUCUCACAUUUGCUCAAUACACGGCGUUGUCAUCUUCCGUUGGAAGCAGAGAAGAACUCUUAUGAGCUCAUCAAUCUCCUAGGAAUUCUGUGAAGGACAAUUCAGUUCCUCUCUUUCUACCCAACAUGUUAGCCAUUAUCACCAGCAGGUAAGGAGGAUGCAGGAGGAACUCUAUCAUUGUAAAUGAAUUGACCCAUAAUAAUUUUGCACUUGUGUAAAGUACAUUUAAGCUCACAGUCUCAUCCAUGGCCUUGCUAUUGGUAGUGAUGUCUCAAGCAACUGGCUUCCCCCAUAUGCUUCCCUGAGGGCUGACCCAUUCCAUUUUGCUGUCUGAAUGGUGCUGCAAGAGAUGAGAAUUGGAUUAACAGCUGAAACCUUUCUCUAAGAGGAAUGUUGGAGGAAUAUCUCUGCCUCUGAAGGCAGCAGAGCUGAUUGGAUGGCCCACCCCUCUCUCCAGAAACAUUUUUCUACCAUUUACCAGAAUCCGUUGCUCAAGACAGCUCCUUCCCUUUGGCUAAUGUUAGGGAUAGUACUGUCUAGUAUUUGCACAUAUGCCUUUAACAUAGCUGAUGUACAUGCACAUGACUCAAAUAUUUGUGUACGAUCCCAGGAAACAUACUGCAACCAUCUAAAAUAUCAUAGGAAACCACAGUUCAGCAAAAGGAGCCAGUCAACCAGGUUUAGCAUGGCGCAUGGCAAACCAUGUGUCAGAAUCCUUGCAAGAUUUAAUAGUAGAUUGUUAUGUUGGCUAGUUUAGCAAUUGCUGCUUACAUGCUGUGGUUCUGCCAUUGUAAAAGGGGGGGGGGGAGAAGGAAUGGGAAACCGUUAGAAGCAGAUGGUUCCUUAUCACAGGUGCUGGCAUGCCCAAGGUCGUACCAGCAAGGGAAUCAGGAGACCAGGAGGUAAGGGGGGUGAAGGAGGGAAAAGUAUGAAAAACAACUUUUGGCGCGCUCAAAGUUAGCAAUGUUUUGGAACUGUACACUUGUUC